ACGCCGGUGCCGUCCACUGUGACAUAUAAAAGUGUGUUUUAGACUACAAAGCCGCUCCGCUCCGUGCGAUCGCUGGUAGGCGGACGAUGUGGUGCGUUCUUGAAGAGAAACUGACUCGGAAUUUCCAAGUCCCCACUCAAGGAUAUGGGAGGAAACCAGACUACCCAGGGGAAACCCACGCAAGCAUGGGGAGAACACGCAAACUCCACACAGAAGGGCGGUGUGCAAAAGCAGGUGUGAGAGGUAAGCCUAAAUGAUGUCCGUGAUGGUCCCUCACACUAAAGUGCCCUGAGUGUUUGACUGACCUGGAGUACACCGGCUCUCCUCGGCAGUAUCCGAGUAUGGCGGCUGUGUCGGGAUAGAUGGCUUCAUACUUGAGCAGGUGUCUCUUUAACGCAUACAGCGGGUGGUUCUUGUACUCUGCGAUGGAGACAGGCAAGGGCUUGUUCAGCAGCUUCUUCUGCAUCUGAUUGGGCAAUAAAACAAAGCUUGAUCACACGCUGAUCCAGUUAAGUGAGACUUUUUUUUCAAACUUGACGAUGGGUCACCUCCUUCUCCUCUUUUAUGUCCUGUUCAUCUUCUGGUCUCAGGAAGGGCUGCAGCGUCUCUUCCCACCACUCCUCCUCCACCCGCCUCUUCCUGCUUGACGUCAUCCAGGUGGGGUCGUACUUGCGGCCCAGGUCCUUCACAAAGCCGUCUUCGUCCACACCCACCACGUACGUGAUUGGCCGCGUGGCAUUCUGGGAGCAGAGCUGAGGUGCGCCCACUCCGUGCUCCACAUCCACACACACCCAUGAGGAGGUUUUGUCUACAAACACCUCCACCCACUGGUCAGCUCCGACACAAUUUUUCUUUUUCGUGCUCUGUCUCUUUGCUUUGCUGCCAGCCUGUCCUUUUUCUCCAUCCUCAUGAUUCUCCUCGUCUUUUCCUAAACCGCUCGUUUUCUUCUGGACUGUAUUGUUCCUGUCAUUUUUACUUUUACCUCUUUCUU